rnacentral:rRNA from 1 species
CCUACGGGGGGCAGCAGUGGGGAAUAUUGGACAAUGGGCGAAAGCCUGAUCCAGCCAUGCCGCGUGUGUGAAGAAGGCCUUCGGGUUGUAAAGCACUUUCAGUGGGGAAGAAAGCCUUGGGGCUAAUACCCUCGAGGAAGGACAUCACCCACAGAAGAAGCACCGGCUAACUCCGUGCCAGCAACCGCGGUAAUACGGAGGGUGCGAGCGUUAAUCGGAAUUACUGGGCGUAAAGCGCGCGUAGGCGGUCUGAUAAGCCGGUUGUGAAAGCCCCGGGCUCAACCUGGGAACGGCAUCCGGAACUGUCAGGCUAGAGUGCAGGAGAGGAAGGUAGAAUUCCCGGUGUAGCGGUGAAAUGCGUAGAGAUCGGGAGGAAUACCAGUGGCGAAGGCGGCCUUCUGGACUGACACUGACGCUGAGGUGCGAAAGCGUGGGUAGCAAACAGGAUUAGAUACCCGUGUAGUC